rnacentral:sRNA from 1 species
UGUAAUGUUUUAUUAUAGUUAUAUGAUGUAAUGGGUUUUUAAUAAAUAAGUAGUGUUUAAUUUAAAUAAUAUUAUAUUUUUUGGAAAUGUUUACAAAUCUAUAAUAUAUGGGGUCAAAUUGUAAAUUAUAUAAUUAAAAGGUAUUAGUAUAUAAAUUAGAAAUAGAAUAUUUCUAAAAAUAUUCUUUUUUAUAGUAGUAAAUAGAUAUAGAACUAUACAUUGGAGAUGGUCUUACUAUUUGUAAAAAAGUGA